AGCUGACAGGUUUGCAUAUGCCACAACAUAGAAGAUCUUAUUAUUGAGAAGGUAAACCUAGAUGUGCUAGCAUCCACACCAACUCUUUCCACCAACUCUUCCAAUUGGCAUGCCAUUGUUGAUUAAACAUAAACCAACAUUUUCAGCAUGUCAUUGUUGACUAAACAUAAACCAACAUUUUCAAUCUCCACCUUGGUUUGCGUUUCGAGCGUGUGAACAACUCUGGCCAAAACUUCUAAGCUUACUGGGCAACCCCGUUGUAAGAAACAAGAAGAAUCAAACCAUUGUUGAACAUACCACCUCCACCUAGCAACUGUUCUCUUCGGAGUUGCAUCAGUUGAUGCACACCCCCGCCAAGUCCUUGCAGUGUGCAAACUUAGCGAGCGGGACUAUCUUGGUCAACAUGUCUGCAGCAUUAUCGUCUGUGAUAACCUUCACGACCUUGA
rnacentral:lncRNA from 1 species